rnacentral:rRNA from 1 species
CACCGAAUGCUUGCAUUCACCGUAAGAAGCUGAGUGGCGGACGGGUGAGUAACACGUGGGUAACCUGCCUAAAAGAAGGGGAUAACACUUGGAAACAGGUGCUAAUACCGCAUAUCUCUAAGGAUCGCAUGAUCCUUAGAUGAAAAGAUGGUUCUGCUAUCGCUUUUAGAUGGACCCGCGGCGUAUUAACUAGUUGGUGGGGUAACGGCCUACCAAGGUGAUGAUACGCAGCCGAACUGAGAGGUUGAUCGGCCACAUUGGGACUGAGACACGGCCCAAACUCCUACGGGAGGCAGCAGUAGGGAAUCUUCCACAAUGGACGCAAGUCUGAUGGAGCAACGCCGCGUGAGUGAAGAAGGUUUUCGGAUCGUAAAGCUCUGUUGUUGGUGAAGAAGGAUAGAGGUAGUAACUGGCCUUUAUUUGACGGUAAUCAACCAGAAAGUCACGGCUAACUACGUGC